rnacentral:rRNA from 1 species
AGUGAACGCUGGCGGUAGGCCUAACACAUGCAAGUCGGACGGCAGCACAGUAAGAGCUUGCUCUUACGGGUGGCGAGUGGCGGACGGGUGAGGAAUACAUCGGAAUCUACUUUUUCGUGGGGGAUAACGUAGGGAAGCUUACGCUAAUACCGCAUACGACCUACGGGUGAAAGCAGGGGAUCUUCGGACCUUGCGCGAUUGAAUGAGCCGAUGUCGGAUUAGCUAGUUGGCGGGGUAAAGGCCCACCAAGGCGACGAUCCGUAGCUGGUCUGAGAGGAUGAUCAGCCACACUGGAACUGAGACACGGUCCAGACUCCUACGGGAGGCAGCAGUGGGGAAUAUUGGACAAUGGGCGCAAGCCUGAUCCAGCCAUACCGCGUGGGUGAAGAAGGCCUUCGGGUUGUAAAGCCCUUUUGUUGGGAAAGAAAAGCAGCAGGUUAAUACCCCGCUGUUCUGACGGUACCCAAAGAAUAAGCACCGGCUAACUUCGUG